CUUGACUGUAGCUUGGAAUUGGGUUCGGGCUCUUCUUGCGCAGCCUAGGUGGGAGGCGUUGAAGGUUUUCUUUCGGGGAAACUGGGGCCAACAGUGAGAGACCACUCUGGAGGAGCUAGAAUUCUAAUGGCGUUCCUUGAAGCAGGACGCUUGACAGUUUCAGGUGGGCAGUUUGACUGGGGCGGUCACCUCCUAAAAGGUAACGGAGGCGCGCAAAGGUCCCCUCAGUCUGGACGGAAAUCAGACAACGAGUGUAAAGGCAAAAGGGGGCUUGACUGCAAGACCUACAAGUCGAGCAGGAGCGAAAGCUGGCCGUAGUGAUCCGACGGUACCGUGUGGAAGGGCCGUCGCUCAACGAAUAAAAGUUA
rnacentral:rRNA from 1 species